rnacentral:rRNA from 1 species
AGCGUACACGGUGGAUGCCCUGGCAGUCAGAGGCGAUGAAGGACGUGCUAAUCUGCGAUAAGCGUCGGUAAGGUGAUAUGAACCGUUAUAACCGGCGAUUUCCGAAUGGGGAAACCCAGUGUGUUUCGACACACUAUCAUUAACUGAAUCCAUAGGUUAAUGAGGCGAACCGGGGGAACUGAAACAUCUAAGUACCCCGAGGAAAAGAAAUCAACCGAGAUUCCCCCAGUAGCGGCGAGCGAACGGGGAGCAGCCCAGAGCCUGAAUCAGUGUGUGUGUUAGUGGAAGYGUCUGGAAAGGCGCGCGAUACAGGGUGACAGCCCCGUACACAAAAAUGCACAUGCUGUGAGCUCGAUGAGUAGGGCGGGACACGUGGUAUCCUGUCUGAAUAUGGGGGGACCAUCCUCCAAGGCUAAAUACUCCUGACUGACCGAUAGUGAACCAGUACCGUGAGGGAAAGGCGAAAAGAACCCCGGCGAGGGGAGUGAAAAAGAACCUGAAACCGUGUACGUACAAGCAGUGGGAGCAYGCUUAGGCGUGUGACUGCGUACCUUUUGUAUAAUGGGUCAGCGACUUAUAUUCUGUAGCAAGGUUAACCGAAUAGGGGAGCCGAAGGGAAACCGAGUCUUAACUGGGCGUUAAGUUGCAGGGUAUAGACCCGAAACCCGGUGAUCUAGCCAUGGGCAGGUUGAAGGUUGGGUAACACUAACUGGAGGACCGAACCGACUAAUGUUGAAAAAUUAGCGGAUGACUUGUGGCUGGGGGUGAAAGGCCAAUCAAACCGGGAGAUAGCUGGUUCUCCCCGAAAGCUAUUUAGGUAGCGCCUCGUGAAUUCAUCUCCGGGGGUAGAGCACUGUUUCGGCAAGGGGGUCAUCCCGACUUACCAACCCGAUGCAAACUGCGAAUACCGGAGAAUGUUAUCACGGGAGACACACGGCGGGUGCUAACGUCCGUCGUGAAGAGGGAAACAACCCAGACCGCCAGCUAAGGUCCCAAAGUCAUGGUUAAGUGGGAAACGAUGUGGGAAGGCCCAGACAGCCAGGAUGUUGGCUUAGAAGCAGCCAUCAUUUAAAGAAAGCGUAAUAGCUCACUGGUCGAGUCGGCCUGCGCGGAAGAUGUAACGGGGCUAAACCAUGCACCGAAGCUGCGGCAGCGACGCUUAUGYGUUGUUGGGUAGGGGAGCGUUCUGUAAGCCUGUGAAGGUGURCUGUGAGGYAUGCUGGAGGUAUCAGAAGUGCGAAUGCUGACAUAAGUAACGAUAAAGCGGGUGAAAAGCCCGCUCGCCGGAAGACCAAGGGUUCCUGUCCAACGUUAAUCGGGGCAGGGUGAGUCGACCCCUAAGGCGAGGCCGAAAGGCGUAGUCGAUGGGAAACAGGUUAAUAUUCCUGUACUUGGUGUUACUGCGAAGGGGGGACGGAGAAGGCUAUGUUGGCCGGGCGACGGUUGUCCCGGUUUAAGCGUGUAGGCUGGUUUUCCAGGCAAAUCCGGAAAAUCAAGGCUGAGGCGUGAUGACGAGGCACUACGGUGCUGAAGCAACAAAUGCCCUGCUUCCAGGAAAAGCCUCUAAGCAUCAGGUAACAUCAAAUCGUACCCCAAACCGACACAGGUGGUCAGGUAGAGAAUACCAAGGCGCUUGAGAGAACUCGGGUGAAGGAACUAGGCAAAAUGGUGCCGUAACUUCGGGAGAAGGCACGCUGAUAUGUAGGUGAAGCGACUUGCUCGUGGAGCUGAAAUCAGUCGAAGAUACCAGCUGGCUGCAACUGUUUAUUAAAAACACAGCACUGUGCAAACACGAAAGUGGACGUAUACGGUGUGACGCCUGCCCGGUGCCGGAAGGUUAAUUGAUGGGGUUAGCGCAAGCGAAGCUCUUGAUCGAAGCCCCGGUAAACGGCGGCCGUAACUAUAACGGUCCUAAGGUAGCGAAAUUCCUUGUCGGGUAAGUUCCGACCUGCACGAAUGGCGUAAUGAUGGCCAGGCUGUCUCCACCCGAGACUCAGUGAAAUUGAACUCGCUGUGAAGAUGCAGUGUACCCGCGGCAAGACGGAAAGACCCCGUGAACCUUUACUAUAGCUUGACACUGAACAUUGAGCCUUGAUGUGUAGGAUAGGUGGGAGGCUUUGAAGUGUGGACGCCAGUCUGCAUGGAGCCGACCUUGAAAUACCACCCUUUAAUGUUUGAUGUUCUAACGUUGACCCGUAAUCCGGGUUGCGGACAGUGUCUGGUGGGUAGUUUGACUGGGGCGGUCUCCUCCUAAAGAGUAACGGAGGAGCACGAAGGUUGGCUAAUCCUGGUCGGACAUCAGGAGGUUAGUGCAAUGGCAUAAGCCAGCUUGACUGCGAGCGUGACGGCGCGAGCAGGUGCGAAAGCAGGUCAUAGUGAUCCGGUGGUUCUGAAUGGAAGGGCCAUCGCUCAACGGAUAAAAGGUACUCCGGGGAUAACAGGCUGAUACCGCCCAAGAGUUCAUAUCGACGGCGGUGUUUGGCACCUCGAUGUCGGCUCAUCACAUCCUGGGGCUGAAGUAGGUCCCAAGGGUAUGGCUGUUCGCCAUUUAAAGUGGUACGCGAGCUGGGUUUAGAACGUCGUGAGACAGUUCGGUCCCUAUCUGCCGUGGGCGCUGGAGAACUGAGGGGGGCUGCUCCUAGUACGAGAGGACCGGAGUGGACGCAUCACUGGUGUUCGGGUUGUCAUGCCAAUGGCACUGCCCGGUAGCUAAAUGCGGAAGAGAUAAGUGCUGAAAGCAUCUAAGCACGAAACUUGCCCCGAGAUGAGUUCU